ensembl:lncRNA
ACACACUCAUAACAGACAAAUAUGAGGCACAAAAAUGUUACAAUCAGUUUGAAAGCAGCAUCAAUUAAUGGUAGAUUCUAUUCACAUUCCACAACCCAGACCAAAUUUUUUUCCUGUUACACAAAUGUGCUGAGCACUUUCCAGAUUGCCCCUGUUGGCCAAAAGCAGCCUGUUACAUCCUGGAAUUAAGCACACUUAAGGUAUUUGAGACAAUUUAUUAAUGAAAAUUUCCUUGACAGAUUUGACAAAUGUUGGCAAUAUUUUUUUAAAAGUUAAAUCAUAUUGCUUUCAUGAAUAAAUGAAAAUAUAAAGGUCAUGGAUGCAAACAAAUGUUACAUAUACACAUUCUGUCUCUCUAGAUGAAAAGAACAUGCAAAACCAUUUAAUAACCAAAAUAUCAAGUAAAAUUAGUUCCCAGCUGGGCAGCAGCUUUCAAAUGAGUAUCCAAUAUUUGCUUCUGCUGUAGCUGCAAGAACUGUAACUGGACCCAAGUAGAGAAUGAAGCCACGUAUAGAACUACGGGAACACUUUUCUGUGUUUCCUCCAUGCCGUCCUGUCACAUCCUCUUACACGUCCCCUCUUGAUCUGAUAGACAAUAUUGGCAUCCUGGGUCUCACUGAGGCUGUGCUAUGUCCUCAGCAGCUGUUUUUGUUGUUUUGCUGUUAUGCCCACUACAAAAAAUCAUUCCUUAGAAACUUACCAAGUUCAUCUACUGUGUAAAUUUUUAUUAUUGUUACUACCAGGUCUCAUCUUUUGUCAAUGUCAUUGAAUAAAUUUCAUGAGAGUUAUUCUCAGUGUGAAUUUUAAAGCUAAUGCCAGAUCCUGCAAAAAUAUAUGCUAACCAGGCUGUAGUAUACACUGUUACAAAGAAUUUUACUUGUGUCUAAAACUACAGUAAUUUUGCUUAGGUAAUUGUGCUUACCUAUGGAGCACAGGAAGGCUCUUAUGUUUUGUUCCUACAAGUUUCUUUGAAUUUUGGAGUAAAUGCAAGUGUCUGUCUGUCAUCUAUCUGCCCUAUCAUAGAAAUCUUUCUCCCUAACAUUAGAAUACUGAUCGCCGCCCCCAACUUAUCUACCUCUAUUGUCUAACACCUAUAGUAGGUGUGAUCAUGGGAUAAAAUUCAACUGAAAAUGCUAUGAUAACAUUUUAUCUUUUGCUUUAAAAAAUGUGUUUUGUUUUCAAAUAAUCUUUACAUAGUGGACUUUGGUGGCUUUAGUGACAUGUUUAUGCCUAUUUCUUUUUUUUACACAAAUUCCUUGGCAUAUUUUUUCAUAAAGAACAAAAAAUAAAAUCAAAAUUUAUUUUUAAUUCAUGCUUAUUGGGAUUUAAUUAUUCAGAGCUUAAAAUAUUUUGUUAUGUUUAUACACUGUAAAGCUAUCUGUUUUAUGCGUUUGUUUUGUCUAAAUGUAUUUAUGAAAGAAAUACAUUAGAUUAUAUUUAUGUUUACUCAUUUUUCCACCCGGGUUUUUUUUAAUGGUUGUUACGAAAUUAGUUUUUUGAAUGGGUAAUAACGUUGGUAUUUUCAUGUUUUUUUCUUAGUAUUAAAAUUUGUGUGGGUUUUUUAAAAUUCUUCCGUAUUCUGUUAAAAAUUAACACACCUCUAGCUAAUGUUCAGUGUUUGUGCUAAAUACCAAAUUUUUUCAAAAGGAUUGGUUAAGUAAUAAAGUGGAUUAUUUAUGAUGACUGGAAGAUGAAAAUAAUUAUAUGAUUAAACAAAGA